UAUCCUGCAGCGUUUGCUUGGAGGAGUUCCAGACUCCUAUCACCUAUCUUUCCGAAGCAGUGGACGUUUACAGUGAUUGGAUCGACGCUUGUGAAGCAGCCAAUCAAUAGUCACGAUUUCCUUUUCACCCCACCUUCUCUUUUACAUUCCACCCCUGUGAUUGGUCCGUUAAUUAGCUUAGCACGAUGUAGCAAAAUCAAACAAUUGAAGCGUUAUUUUAUUUUGCUUUGUUUGGCCAAUUUUGCUACAGUGUGGCUGAGCAUCACACGUCCCUCUGGCUGGGACAGAGGGACGCCAUUUUGUGUUUUAGUUUUCAUACGUCAAUGAUUAGAUUAGGAAGAAAUAUGUUUUUUUAACUAUUAGAUCGUGAUUUUUCCCUUUUUCUGGACUCAAAAUGUAUGUUUUAAAUGUAAAUGACUGAAAUUCCCUCCAGCGUAAAACAUUCCACGUCUUUAUUUUUAUUAUUUUAGUUGUUGUAAUAAGUAUGUUUAUGAAACAGAAUUGUGUUUUUUUUGUUUUCAACCCCGUUAAAUGCCAAAUCUUUACCAAGCAUUUGUGUUUUUAUCUGUUUAUAAGUACAUAAAUCACAAUUAUGUACUUUGUAUUACACUACCUCCUGUGUAUUUUUAGGUAAUGACUGAGAAAAUGUAAUCAAAACUGUUUUCAAGUGUUUUUUAUUGCACAAAUGUCAUGUUUAGUGAAACGCGUACAAGUCGAAAAAUCAAGAAGUUAGAAAAAGUGUAACAUUUAAACAACGUUGAAACAAAGUCAUCACAUUAAGGUGAAAUGUUACUAGAAAGUUACUUAGCAUUUUGGACAGAACUAAAAAUGACAUUCAAGGGAACAAAGGGAAUGUUUGAUAAAUAAAAAAUACAGUAAGUGUACAUGUGCGUUUCCUCCACUAGAGGGCACACUUUGAUGCUGAAUUCAAGAGCUCUAAUCUACAUUUUCUGACACUAUUUCAAAGCCAAUAAAUGUAAAUAUUUCACAUUAAACUGCUUUAUGUUGUAACUCUAGAUCA